ACUCUCUCUCUCUCUCUCUCUCUCUCUCUCUCUCUCUCUCUCUCUCUCUCUCUCUCUCUCUCUCUCCUCUUCUCAAUACAUGGACAGAUGGACCGAUUUCGGUUUGAUGUUUCGAGAAUCCUGGCUGUUCGGACGCCAAAGUAAAGUUUUCUGCAAGAGAGAUGUGGUGUGGAGGGUACAUUAGUCAGAGUUUCCUGUUGACGGCGGAUGCGUUGGCGAGCAGUCUCCGUAAACGAUGGUUAGGGCUUCAGCUCCUGAGACAUCUAUGAAGAAGCAUGGUCGAGGCUGUGCUAAGGGCAUGAAGAAGUGGGGUAGUGGAGCCAAACUUUACGUCAUGUUUGAUAAUGUCUGUGGUUUAUGACCUGACUUCUCUUUUAUUUUGUUGUACUUUGGUGCAGGUGUGUCUUGGACUUAACAAGAUCACUACGCAAGUAUGUUAGGCCACUCGAGAUUGAGCAAAUGCUAAGCUUUGAGAUUGCACAAAGGCUCAAGGAAGUGAUUGAGCAGAGGCUCAUGAAACAGAUUGAGCGUAUGCUUAAUGGCUUAAUAAGAGGUUAAUGACUCAUCUUGAGUGCAUGGGGGCUCAGACUGGACAGGUGCUAUCUAAAUGUUUGGAUUUUCUUUUUGUUGUAUAUAGUUUUUAAGCAUGUCAUAGUGACAUCAAUGUUUGAUAAUCAACAAAACAGACAAACAUACGAGAAUUGUGUUACAGAAUUGCCAUCGUGUGCAUAUUUUAACCAAUGCAAGUGAAGUAGUUUCAGGCAUUAAAGAUGUCUCUCAUGCUUGCUGUGUUUUGCAGAAUGUGUUUUUAAGGAUUUUAUUGCUCUUGCUGCUACUUUUACUUUUGAUCAUGUUACUGAAACAAAGGUUCCUAGGAAAACUGUGGUGGAAGCUCAUAACAUUGCCAAAGGAAAUUGAAAGACUUUAGUUGUAUCUGCAUAUGUUUAAUGUGCUCUAAAAGACUCGGCCCCCUCGCUCGAGGUCUUGGAAAUGGUCAGAAAUGAUAUGUAGCAGUUAAUCUUUCAUUUGCAAUUCAUUGUUGACUUGAGCACUUAUACCUCUCUGUAUUUCGUUCUUUGUUAACUUCUAGCUGUUCAUUUGCAGCAGCUCUUAGUUUAAGCUUCUAAUGGGGUAUAGUGUACUAAAAUUAUCAGUAGCAACGCAAUGUGGACGGAGGCUGAGCAAUCACAACUUCAUUGUGCACAAAAAAAAAUACAAGAAACUUAGAGAAACGAGGGGGGGAAGAGUAUGCUAGAAACAACCCACCAGUGAACAAGCUUAAUAACUAAGAAGUGGGCUGUUCCAAUAUGACAGAGCAAGUGGAAGGAAAUGAAGUAGCAAACAAUAAGAUAGACGAGCUAGUAGAGGCAAAAGAGGAACAUGGGAGGACUUUGGAUAGUGUUUUGGCGUUUCUUAAACACCAAGGAUUUACCGGUUAACGACUUGCUGCUGAUAAUAAUGGAGUUUCUGGGCUAUUAUUGCUCUGGUUUUGGGCUCUUACUGCUCUGGUUUUGCUCUACUAUUACUGUCGUGAUUGAAUAUGCAUAAGUUUGGUAGCAGGGAAGAUGGUAUAUAUAUGCUCUACUAUGAAGACUUUUUGUUUGGAUAUCUGCUUCUACGAAGAUUCUUUUUUUGGAUGAAAUUCCGAGUCUUCUUUUCUGGAUAUAUGCUUCUAUGAAGACUCCUUUUUGGUUGAAGUUUCGAGUCUUCUUUUUUUAUUUUAAUGAUGCUACCUAUAUGGUAUGGUCUACCUUUCAUGUUUUUUUCAUGGGGACAUUGAUGCUUUGGACCCUAUCAGUGGAUGUACAUUUUGGUAUAGAGUACAUAGUUCUCGUGGUUAAUGGAUGUCUAAUUUAGACAUGAUUAUAUUGAUUUAUGAAGA